GGCCUCUGUUCUUGGCGCUCAUGAUGCCCGUUGGUUCAUGAGUGAAUGCAUAAUAGAGGUAGAGCAGUAAGCUGUGCCAGCUAGGCCAGUGUUCGAAUCUCCUUCGAUGUCAGGACUUCUUGAUUUCCUGAUAUUAUUCCUCUGGGUUCGAAACAAAU
rnacentral:snoRNA from 1 species